rnacentral:rRNA from 1 species
CCUACGGGAGGCAGCAGUGGGGAAUAUUGGACAAUGGGCGGAAGCCUGAUCCAGCAACGCCGCGUGAGGGAUGACGGCCUUCGGGUUGUAAACCUCUUUCAGUAUUGACGAAGCGCCCGUGUGGGUGGUGACGGUAGGUACAGAAGAAGCACCGGCCAACUACGUGCCAGCAGCCGCGGUAAUACGUAGGGUGCGAGCGUUGUCCGGAAUUAUUGGGCGUAAAGGGCUCGUAGGCGGUUUGUCGCGUCGGGAGUGAAAACACUGGGCUUAACCGAGUGCUUGCUUCCGAUACGGGCAGACUUGAGGCAUUGAGGGGAGAACGGAAUUCCUGGUGUAGCGGUGAAAUGCGCAGAUAUCAGGAGGAACACCGGUGGCGAAGGCGGUUCUCUGGCAAUGUUCUGACGCUGAGGAGCGAAAGUGUGGGGAGCGAACAGGAUUAGAUACCCUGGUAGUCCACACCGUAAACGUUGGGCGCUAGGUGUGGGGCCUAUUCCAUGGGUUCCGUGCCGCAGCUACGCAUAAGCGCCCGCCCGUCGGGAGGUACGGCCGGCGACGGACGUAAACCUACGAAACGGAAAGUUAGACGGCGUGAGACGUGCCCGAACGGACGACCGACCGAGGGGAGGUAGG